GACAGAGGGCGCAAGCGUUGUUCGGAAUUACUGGGCGUAAAGCGCGCGUAGGCGGAUCUGCAAGUCCGUAAGUGAAAUCCCGCCGCUCAACGGCGGGGGCUGCUUGGGAAACGGCAGGUCUGGGGACCGGUAGAGGUCGGUAGAAUUCCUGGUGUAGCGGUGAAAUGCGCAGAUAUCAGGAGGAACACCGAUGGCGAAGGCAGUGUUCUGGGCCAGUACUGACGCUGAGGAGCGAAAGCGUGGGGGAGCGAAACAGG
rnacentral:rRNA from 1 species